GCCGGCGGCGCGGGAGCCGGGCGCGGGAGCCGGGCGCCGGGCGCAGCAUGCCCCCUGCCCCUGCGCCAUGGAGCUCGCCUUGGUGCCCCUGGAGAACGGCGGUGCCAUGACCGUCAGAGGAGGAGGUGAGGCCCGGGCAGGCUGCGGCCAGGCCACAGGGGGAGAGCUCCAGUGUCCCCCGACGGCUGGGCUUAACGAUGGGCCCAAAGAGCCGGCGCCAACGGGGUGCGGCUCCCAGAGGGGCGCGGAGCCGGGAGGGCGGCCUUUGCCUCCGCUGCCGCUGCCGGAGGAGCCGCAGCCUAGACGGCCGCCUCCCGAGGCCGAGGAGGAGGAGGGAGACCCGGGCCUGAGCAUGGCGGAGGACCAGGCGCUGGGCGCGGCGUCCCUUCACCACCAGCGCGUACUCAUCAACAUCUCCGGGCUGCGCUUCGAGACGCAGCUGGGCACCCUGGCGCAGUUCCCCAACACCCUCCUGGGGGACCCGGCCAAGCGCCUGCGCUACUUCGACCCCCUGAGGAACGAGUACUUCUUCGACCGCAACCGGCCCAGCUUCGACGGCAUCCUCUACUACUACCAGUCCGGGGGCCGCCUGCGGAGGCCGGUCAACGUCUCCCUGGACGUGUUCGCGGACGAGAUCCGCUUCUACCAGCUGGGGGACGAGGCCAUGGAGCGCUUCCGGGAGGACGAGGGCUUCAUCAAAGAGGAGGAGAAACCCUUGCCCCGCAACGAGUUCCAGCGCCAGGUGUGGCUUAUCUUCGAGUACCCGGAAAGCUCGGGGUCGGCGCGAGCCAUCGCCAUUGUUUCGGUCUUGGUCAUCCUCAUCUCCAUCAUCACCUUCUGCCUGGAGACCCUGCCCGAGUUCAGGGACGAACGGGAGCUGCUCCGCCACCCGCCCGCACCGCCCCGGCCUCCAGCGCCCGCCCCGGGGGCCAAUGGCAGCGGGGGCAUGGCACCCCCCUCGGGUCCGACUGUGGCACCGCUGCUACCUAGGACCCUGGCGGACCCUUUCUUCAUCGUGGAGACCACGUGCGUCAUCUGGUUCACCUUCGAGCUGCUCGUGCGCUUCUUCGCCUGCCCCAGCAAGGCGGAGUUCUCGCGGAACAUCAUGAACAUCAUCGAUGUCGUGGCCAUCUUCCCCUACUUCAUCACCCUGGGCACCGAGCUGGCAGAGCAGCAGCCAGGUGGCGGGGGAGGGGGCGGCCAGAACGGGCAGCAGGCCAUGUCCCUGGCCAUCCUCAGAGUGAUCCGCCUGGUCCGGGUGUUCCGCAUCUUCAAGCUCUCCCGCCACUCCAAGGGGCUGCAGAUCCUGGGCAAGACCUUGCAGGCCUCCAUGAGGGAGCUGGGGCUGCUCAUCUUCUUCCUCUUCAUCGGGGUCAUCCUCUUCUCCAGUGCCGUCUACUUCGCAGAGGCUGACAACCAGGGGACCCACUUCUCCAGCAUCCCGGAUGCCUUCUGGUGGGCGGUAGUCACCAUGACCACUGUGGGCUAUGGUGACAUGAGGCCCAUCACUGUGGGGGGCAAGAUCGUGGGCUCGCUGUGUGCCAUCGCUGGGGUCCUCACCAUUGCCCUGCCUGUGCCCGUCAUCGUCUCCAACUUCAACUACUUCUACCACCGCGAGACGGACCACGAGGAGCAGGCAGCCCUUAAGGAAGAGCAAGGCAGUCAGAGCCAGGGCACCGGGCUGGACAGAGGAGGCCAGCGGAAGGCCAGCUGGAACAAGGGUUCCUUCUGCAAGACUGGUGGCUCCCUGGACAAUGCAGACAGUGCCCGAAGGGGCAGCUGUCCCCUAGAGAAGUGUAACCUCAAGGCCAAGAGCAACGUGGACUUGCGGAGGUCCCUGUAUGCCCUCUGCCUGGAUACCAGCCGGGAAACAGAUUUGUGAAGGGAGAUCCAGGCAGCCUGGUGGCAGUGGGGCGGGGAAGGCCAGGCCCGCUGGCUGUCUGCUUUAUACCGCAGAGUAUUGGAAGCCAUGUCGUAACCUUAUUCUGUCCCUGUCCUUUCACUCCUGCACUCCCUCCCUCCCCUGAUACCCCCAUUUUCCUCUUUUUUUCCAUGACACCAAGGGUCGCCUAUUUUUAAAAAGUACCAUAUUCCAUGACGCAGGAGCCGUUGAAAUGGUAUUUACUGUGAAGCAGGCGCCAAGCUAGGCUCUGAGACUAACUGGCAAGGAUCUUUCCUGAUUGGCUUUCCAGUUGAAUGGGGAGAAUCAACAAUCAAGCGAGCAAAUGAAGGAACUGACAAUUUUCAAGUCCAGGAAAUAAGCAGUGUUGUCCCUGGGGAGAUCCUGCUGCCUAGAGAGGAGGCACGGUCAGAGAAGGGGAGACGUUCGGGUGAAGGAAAAGAAGGCACGGAAUGCGGGACGGGGGUAGGGCGGGAACGCUGGGACUAUGGGGACACUAGUGGGAAGCCUGUGUUUUCUUGCGGAAGCAGAGGGCGGAAACCUUGGGCGGGGCUGGGGGCUGGGAAAAGCCAGGGACCGCUGGACUGCUCCAGGCAGGAUUGGCAAUCCCAGCGCCAGUCCUGCCCACUCGCCAUCAAGGAGCAGGAAGGUGGCCCUGCCGUUGCCGGCAGCACUCCCAAGAGACCAGUCUCCAAGAGUGGCACAGCACGUUUCUCCUGGAAGGCAAGCAGUGGGUUCAAAUCUGAUUUUUAAAAUUUAAUUUAAGGGGGUUGGGCAGGAAGAGGCCUCAGGCGUGCCUUGAUUGUUUAGCUAGCUAAGAGGACACCCCAGAGGACUCUGAGUCCAUGCCAGAAAACAGGGUGAGCAACCUGGGGCUGUGACUGCGCAGGCCCCGAGGGGAAAGGAGGGGUGAGGAGAAGCAAGGAGUCCCAGAGACCUGUUGCUCCUCACAACCGUUCUAAGACCAGAGACAGGAACUGGAGAAUCUGAGAGAGGCUGUGGGGGCCGAGAAGAGAGCGUGGGGACAGCUGAGCGUCUGUGUGCACAGGCCCAUGGCCUGGACGUUUGGAGUGAACACUCCCCCACGCUGGACAGGGCUUGGCUCAGGCCCCCACAAGCCUGAGCCUUCAGGGCUCUUUCAGGACCGGAGAGCUCUGGAGGACACUGGGGCUUCCCUUCAUCCUGCGCACACUGCCCCUCCUCCCAGUGGGCGCUGGGCCUUUUCCCCGCGUGUGGCCCCGGCUUUGGGAGGAGCUGGAGGGAGGCAGGUCUGUGCGGAGCUGGAGCCGGAGAUCAGCUCUGACCAGCCGGAGGUCGCCCAGCGCCGCGCCCCUCACUGCGCUCUGAGCAACCUCUCCUGCGUGACGGACGUCCUGUGCCGUGAGGAAGUCACUCCUGCCCCCUGCCCGUGUCUCGGAUGGGCUGGAAGAGCCCGUCAGCGCUACGUACUAAAGGGGUUCGGCGAUUGCAGCAACAUGAUAGAGCUUUCUGGCCCGAAUUGACUCCUCUUCUGACUUAAACCGCAACAUCCGUGGCCUUGCACGUUGAAUGCUGUCACUGCACAGUUGACAGAGAUGCUCCCUGGCAUCCAGGCAGCUGCAGGAGGCGGGUCCUGUUCCGACAGUUCCCCGUGCUCUGCCCUGGCUCCCCGUGCGUGCGUGCGUCCGGGUGGUGAGAACAUUGCUGUUAGCUGGGACUCCUCGGGUCAUGAAGAAGGAGAACUCCGUCGGCAAAGAUUCAGGGGAGUGUUUCAGAGGCUGAAGCAGAGCGGCAGGGUGGGGAUGGAAGGGAAGAUGGGCUGGAGAUAGAGCUGGGAGAUAGGAGAAGUUGGCAUUCUGGGCAAAAAUAUGUUGGUGAGGGAUAGAGUGACCACGUCUGGUCUGCCAAGGACAGCCAGGUGUACCUGCUGUUGAUCAGCGAUGUCUUAUUGUUUUUUAACACUCUAUGCCUCUCCUCUUCCAAAUGUCCCGGCUUGGAAGGUAAAUUAAAUGGUAUGAUGCUUCCCUGUAUGUAAUUGAAAAUAAAGACCUUACCAACCAAAAUAUGAAUUAAGAAAGUCCUCAAGAGUUCUAAUAUUUCCCUUAGUGAUUUAUUGAAACAUCAAAUGUCAAAAGUUUGAUGCCCCUGUGUAGCUAGUACCCCCAGCUCGGGUUUACUCUUCUUCUUGGAAAAUCCAGACCUCACCCAACCUCUCUCAUUCCCUGAAAUUGGCAGGGGAUCCCUCCCUGAGCUUUCCUGACCACAUCACUGGGCCAGAUCAUGGGUAAAGUCAGUUUUAGCUGGGUGGCUUUUUGGAGUGGGAAAUGGAUUCCAGAUGUUGUCAGCUGGUGGCCACCAUGGCAGACUUGGGUCUGAGCGGAGCUUGGAAUUUCCCAGAGCCAGACAGAGGCCUUUUCCAUGGCCUUGAAGGGGGCUGCUCUGAUGCCCUCCUCCCCCCACCCCCCGCCAAUGGGGUCUGGUUCACUGGGUCUUUUCUGGGAAAUAGUGAGAAGGCAAAGCUAGGAUUAAGUUUGAUGUGAAUUAGUGAUCAACUCAUCCUUGAUUCUGGGCCUGGGCCACCUUCAUACUCUGGGCUACAGAAGGGAUUUAGUGUAGACACUGUAUUUCAGAGAUGGUAGGGACUAGCUUGAAACAAAAGAACAAUAUAUGAUUCUUAUGAAAAGUGUAUAUUAAUGAGACCACUGAAUUGUAUGAUAAACAGUAUGUCAGUGAGGUCUGACCAUAACCUCAUUAGAACUUGUUUUAAGCAAACAUAUGUGUACUGGCCUUCAGGCAUAGAAAUAAACAAGUGUUCAAAGGGGUCACCUUGGAGAAGGCUAUGUACGUAACUAGGAAAUGUUGCAUGGAUCAAAACGUUUCAGAAUUCUCUUUUGGGAACAUAUUGAAGUUCAAUUUUUGGAGUUCACACAUACCCCCUUUUCAAAUGGCAAGUUCCCAUUGAACUUUAAGGGGCUAAGAGUCAUUCACACUUCAGUGUGAACUAGUUAAAUCAAAUGCAACUAACUAUAGCCUGACCCUCUAGGAAAUGGGAGUUUAAGCAGAAGGCUUGGGGAGGCAGCAUGGAAAUCUUGGCAGCUGAUGCUGGACAGCAGAGUGGGUUGCAGAAUUCUGAGGAGUGGGGAGCUGGGGGCUGCAGACAGCAGCUGGAGGGUGAGCUGUGCCCCGGGGUGGGGAGAAGACAGCAGGCCUGGGGCACGGUGCAGAGCGCGGAAGAGAGCAUUGCAUUGGGAAGGUGCGCAGAGCAGCCUGGAGCCAGCACAGGAGGCAGCCGCGGGUCAGUUCAGCGUUUUGGUUACGUGAGUGAGAUUUGGAGACAGGUAGAUCUGAGUUCAAAUCCUGAUUUCACCAUUCAUUAGCUAUGAGACCGAAUGCAAGCGAUACCUUUCCAAAUGGCCUGCUAUAAAGUCAUUGUUCCAACCAUAAAAUAAGGAUAGUAACAAGGCCUGCUCUCAGGUUGUCCCGGGACAAGUGCAGCAAACUACACAGACAUCGUCGGGCUGUCAGCCCUGAGGAGAGGUCAGUUACUGUGGUUGUUACUGCCACGUAAAGCUCCAGGAGAAAGGCUGGAGCAAGUCCUGCCCCUCCAAAAUGGGAGCGUCACCAAAUUUCAUUCAGUGAUGUUUACCAAGAGCUAACAUCACAGGUGCUAAGUUAGAGCUAUAGAUGUCAAAAUGUGAGCCAGAGGGAAUUGUUUUCCCACGAUCUACCAAGCAGCGCUAAGUGCACAAAUGGGCAAAACAGACAUGGAGGCGGGAAGGAGGUGCAAGG